UACGUAGGGUGCAAGCGUUAAUCGGAAUUACUGGGCGUAAAGCGUGCGCAGGCGGUUGUGCAAGACAGAUGUGAAAUCCCCGGGCUUAACCUGGGAAUUGCAUUUGUGACUGUACGGCUAGAGUGUGUCAGAGGGGGGUAGAAUUCCACGUGUAGCAGUGAAAUGCGUAGAGAUGUGGAGGAAUACCGAUGGCGAAGGCAGCCCCCUGGGAUGACACUGACGCUGAAGCACGAAAGCGUGGGGAGCAAACAGG
rnacentral:rRNA from 1 species